rnacentral:rRNA from 1 species
GGGUCUAAUACUGGAUAUGCACCGUGGACCGCAUGGUUCUUGGUGGAAAGAUUUAUUGGUCAGGGAUGGACUCGCGGCCUAUCAGCUUGUUGGUGAGGUAAUGGCUCACCAAGGCGACGACGGGUAGCCGGCCUGAGAGGGUGACCGGCCACACUGGGACUGAGACACGGCCCAGACUCCUACGGGAGGCAGCAGUGGGGAAUAUUGCACAAUGGGCGAAAGCCUGAUGCAGCGACGCCGCGUGAGGGAUGACGGCCUUCGGGUUGUAAACCUCUUUCAGUAGGGAAGAAGCGAAAGUGACGGUACCUGCAGAAGAAGCGCCGGCUAACUACGUGCCAGCAGCCGCGGUAAUACGUAGGGCGCAAGCGUUAUCCGGAAUUAUUGGGCGUAAAGAGCUCGUAGGCGGUUUGUCGCGUCUAUCGUGAAAGUCCGAGGCUCAACCUCGGAUCUGCGGUGGGUACGGGCAGACUAGAGUGAUGUAGGGGAGACUGGAAUUCCUGGUGUAGCGGUGAAAUGCGCAGAUAUCAGGAGGAACACCGAUGGCGAAGGCAGGUCUCUGGGCAUUAACUGACGCUGAGGAGCGAAAGCAUGGGGAGCGAACAGGAUUAGAUACCCUGGUAGUCCAUGCCGUAAACGUUGGGCACUAGGUGUGGGGGACAUUCCACGUUUUCCGCGCCGUAGCUAACGCAUUAAGUGCCCCGCCUGGGGAGUAC